UAUGCGGUGUCAGCCGCGGUCGGAGUGGAGGGAGCGGGGGUGAGCGGUCUCUCUGCUCCUCGUUGUUCGUCAUCCUCAUCUUCUCCUGUGUGGGGGUGUGUGUACUCUCCUCUCUUCUUCUCUUUUUAGCUAGCUAGCUAGUUUGCGAGAAGGCAGGAAGGAGGACGGGUGGCGGCCACCGGGGGUGGAGGGAAAGAAUGACGAGAGGGCGGGCGAUAUUUAUGGCGGAUUGCGCCGCGAAGGAGCUCUUCGGUUUUGGCGCGGCGCGUUGGGGCGUCAGGGGUGGCCGCGGCGGGGGCGGCGGAGGCGGAGGCCCCGCGCAGGGGCGAGGGCGCGGCUGCUCCCGGGCCGUAACGGCUAGCCUGGGCGCGCGGCGAAGGAAGUGGGGGGGAGGAUGGGGAGCGCGUGCGGCGGCUGCGGCGCACGAGUGGCGAUCGACUACCUAGAUGAUCCCUUGGGAAAGUUCCCCCAGCAGCGGCUACAGUUUCCCUCUCGCAGAACCAUGUCCCUGCUGACCCAACGUCCCGAGGCUUGACCGAAGUCCUAUAACCGUGGAUGGUACAUAUAUAAGAAACGGAGGCGUGAGGGACAGUAGAGGAAGCCUCUCGUCGACUCGUUGCUUUGUCUACCAUAGGACUCGUGUCAACUUUGAAACCGUAGAUGCCGCUAUACACCCUAUUAUGUGAGAUAAGAACCUCCCGUCGGUGACAACUAGCAACCUCAACGACUUGGAUGAUAAUAGUACAUAUGCAUGGAAAUGUUCAAACGGUUCUUCGUCGGUCUAGACCCUCUUGUCGAUAUAAACCGAACCCGACCUACCCAGACGUAAACCUGACGAUAGUACGAGAAAGACGACCGGUACAAGUUACGAAGGUUGUAAUAUUCGUCCAAGUGCUCCCAACGUCCUCUCGAAAAACCAUACGAAUAGUGGCAGGAGAAGGACGUUGUUCGAUAGUUCCCUUAACAUUCGCUCAAGUCAUACGGGUUUCUACUACUCUAAAGACUGGGGUCGAGUGGGUAUAUGGUCAAGGUCACCUAAAUACAGUUACCGGAUGAACCACAAUAUAAAAGGUAACCGAACGACAUGUGACGUGACUUCUGAUCCGCACGUUCCAGUACCGACAAACCCUAUCCUACCGAAUCUUCGAAGUAACGGCUAAUACCACAUGGUGACUACCACUAACACACCUGUCGUAAAAGUAAACGUGAUGGUUCGUUUCAGGGAAGUCCUCACGGAUCCUCCGAGAAGUCAGGUGAAGGGACCCUCAGUUAGAGUGACUCUGUAACCUGGCAUCGUUUCCUAAACAAAAGACAGGGAGGUUGUAUAUAUAAGCGUCGGUAGCACGGACGAAACUACCAGCGUCCUGAAAUAAAGAAACUAGUGUCACAUCGAAGUGUCAACCGAGUCGUUUUCCUUAAAUUAAACUUCUUCGGAAGCCGGAUGGUAAUACUGUAAAACCAUGANNNNNNNNNCCAGGAUGAUACACCAAACGAACCGUAAGGAGGUAGUUUACCUCAUGAAGGAGUCAGGGGUUACGUAUGGUCUUCGGAACGACAGGAGUUCCCCGUCAACGAUGCGUUUUUCUACGAAGUUUGACGGUUUCUCCCGUACAGUUUGGCACGCUCGUCAAACCUUUAUAUACCGUUCUACGUCCUUCACAAGUAGGUUUACCUGUCGUUGUACUUACGAUUAAGACAACUGUUCCUGAACUUCUCGAACUUCCUACGACACGACGCCCUUCCACUGCUUCUUCCCUUUAACCGACCUCUUAAACUAGGAUCGUUUGUAUAGCUUCGUGUAAACGGACAAGCGCACUUACUUGUCUCUGAUUCGUUGGACGACGUUAGUAAUGAACAACCACCCACACAACCUCGGUACGGCCAAUAGUUCUACUAUGGCUGAAGCCAGGAGACCCCAAUGAAACGGAUAUACCGGUAACUAUCGGAUGGACCCUUGGUCAAAACCCUUUCCAACGUCGAAGACACGUAACCUCGUUCGGCUGCGAUGUUCCAGAACCUUCCGGGGGUACGUAGAAAGCACCUCAGUCACGGAAGUUCUUGUUAUAGACGGAAAUGCCAGAAGGUCAAACACAUAGAGGACUAUACGAAGCCGUAUUGUACCUAUGGUCAUCGUCCCUAGGAGAAGGGCGACGGAAAGAAGUAAUACUAAGAGUAGUCCGUUGUGGAUGAGGGUUUCAAGAAACUCGGGUUACUGAACGCCCUUGACCUGCGUCGACUCAUGCUUCUUGAACUUCCACAGGGUGUACUUGUUUGUGGCCUCCUUCUACCGAGUUUAAGUCCUUCGACACUGUCGUCUCUGCUGAGACUUUAUAACCUACUCGAGUGUUGUUUGGCACCUCUCGACUUCGUGUCUAGGCAUUCGGUAGGACUUCUUUCCGUGGAAGUCUAGGUGAGUUUACGUCAAGUCGGUUCGCACACUUCUACCUUUUUUGCAGGGCUCCAGGCUCCGAUACUACCACUAAGACAGUCUUCACAUAUAAUACCACUUCGGUAACAAGCAAAGGCUUAUGCGGUAACAGGUCAUUGCGCGUACCAUGACAUCGACCGCGAAUAGGCUAUUCGACACUAGCACAUGCGAUCCUUCAUUUCGAGUCCACUAAUCGUCACUCUCGUCUGACUUCUUUCACAUAACCUAUACCUUCCCCCUUGAACGGUCUUGUCAUGAUGAUCAUUACCAAUGUUCAUCCGUCUAAUCGGGAAAUCCAUAACGGUUCUGACAACGAGACACUGGACACAUUUUUAGAUCGAACGAGACGGACUCACAUUUCCCCAUUUUGAAACGAACUCUUCGUCAUUUAGAAGGCGCACAGGACCGACGUAAAACCACGGAAACAAGAAAA
rnacentral:rRNA from 1 species